rnacentral:rRNA from 1 species
AGCGUACACGGUGGAUGCCCUGGCAGUCAGAGGCGAUGAAGGACGUGCUAAUCUGCGAUAAGCGUCGGUAAGGUGAUAUGAACCGUUAUAACCGGCGAUUUCCGAAUGGGGAAACCCAGUGUGAUUCGUCACACUAUCAUUAACUGAAUCCAUAGGUUAAUGAGGCGAACCGGGGGAACUGAAACAUCUAAGUACCCCGAGGAAAAGAAAUCAACCGAGAUUCCCCCAGUAGCGGCGAGCGAACGGGGAGCAGCCCAGAGCCUGAAUCAGUGUGUGUGUUAGUGGAAGCGUCUGGAAAGGCGCGCGAUACAGGGUGACAGCCCCGUACACAAAAAUGCACAUACUGUGAGCUCGAUGAGUAGGGCGGGACACGUGGUAUCCUGUCUGAAUAUGGGGGGACCAUCCUCCAAGGCUAAAUACUCCUGACUGACCGAUAGUGAACCAGUACCGUGAGGGAAAGGCGAAAAGAACCCCGGCGAGGGGAGUGAAAAAGAACCUGAAACCGUGUACGUACAAGCAGUGGGAGCCUCUUUAUGGGGUGACUGCGUACCUUUUGUAUAAUGGGUCAGCGACUUAUAUUCUGUAGCAAGGUUAACCGAAUAGGGGAGCCGAAGGGAAACCGAGUCUUAACUGGGCGUUAAGUUGCAGGGUAUAGACCCGAAACCCGGUGAUCUAGCCAUGGGCAGGUUGAAGGUUGGGUAACACUAACUGGAGGACCGAACCGACUAAUGUUGAAAAAUUAGCGGAUGACUUGUGGCUGGGGGUGAAAGGCCAAUCAAACCGGGAGAUAGCUGGUUCUCCCCGAAAGCUAUUUAGGUAGCGCCUCGUGAAUUCAUCUCCGGGGGUAGAGCACUGUUUCGGCAAGGGGGUCAUCCCGACUUACCAACCCGAUGCAAACUGCGAAUACCGGAGAAUGUUAUCACGGGAGACACACGGCGGGUGCUAACGUCCGUCGUGAAGAGGGAAACAACCCAGACCGCCAGCUAAGGUCCCAAAGUCAUGGUUAAGUGGGAAACGAUGUGGGAAGGCCCAGACAGCCAGGAUGUUGGCUUAGAAGCAGCCAUCAUUUAAAGAAAGCGUAAUAGCUCACUGGUCGAGUCGGCCUGCGCGGAAGAUGUAACGGGGCUAAACCAUGCACCGAAGCUGCGGCAGCGACACUAUGUGUUGUUGGGUAGGGGAGCGUUCUGUAAGCCUGCGAAGGUGUACUGUGAGGUAUGCUGGAGGUAUCAGAAGUGCGAAUGCUGACAUAAGUAACGAUAAAGCGGGUGAAAAGCCCGCUCGCCGGAAGACCAAGGGUUCCUGUCCAACGUUAAUCGGGGCAGGGUGAGUCGACCCCUAAGGCGAGGCCGAAAGGCGUAGUCGAUGGGAAACAGGUUAAUAUUCCUGUACUUGGUGUUACUGCGAAGGGGGGACGGAGAAGGCUAUGUUGGCCGGGCGACGGUUGUCCCGGUUUAAGCGUGUAGGCUGGUUUUCCAGGCAAAUCCGGAAAAUCAAGGCUGAGGCGUGAUGACGAGGCACUACGGUGCUGAAGCAACAAAUGCCCUGCUUCCAGGAAAAGCCUCUAAGCAUCAGGUAACAUCAAAUCGUACCCCAAACCGACACAGGUGGUCAGGUAGAGAAUACCAAGGCGCUUGAGAGAACUCGGGUGAAGGAACUAGGCAAAAUGGUGCCGUAACUUCGGGAGAAGGCACGCUGAUAUGUAGGUGAAGCGACUUGCUCGUGGAGCUGAAAUCAGUCGAAGAUACCAGCUGGCUGCAACUGUUUAUUAAAAACACAGCACUGUGCAAACACGAAAGUGGACGUAUACGGUGUGACGCCUGCCCGGUGCCGGAAGGUUAAUUGAUGGGGUUAGCGGUAACGCGAAGCUCUUGAUCGAAGCCCCGGUAAACGGCGGCCGUAACUAUAACGGUCCUAAGGUAGCGAAAUUCCUUGUCGGGUAAGUUCCGACCUGCACGAAUGGCGUAAUGAUGGCCAGGCUGUCUCCACCCGAGACUCAGUGAAAUUGAACUCGCUGUGAAGAUGCAGUGUACCCGCGGCAAGACGGAAAGACCCCGUGAACCUUUACUAUAGCUUGACACUGAACAUUGAGCCUUGAUGUGUAGGAUAGGUGGGAGGCUUUGAAGUGUGGACGCCAGUCUGCAUGGAGCCGGCCUUGAAAUACCACCCUUUAAUGUUUGAUGUUCUAACGUUGGCCCCUGACCGGGGUUGCGGACAGUGUCUGGUGGGUAGUUUGACUGGGGCGGUCUCCUCCUAAAGAGUAACGGAGGAGCACGAAGGUUGGCUAAUCCUGGUCGGACAUCAGGAGGUUAGUGCAAUGGCAUAAGCCAGCUUGACUGCGAGCGUGACGGCGCGAGCAGGUGCGAAAGCAGGUCAUAGUGAUCCGGUGGUUCUGAAUGGAAGGGCCAUCGCUCAACGGAUAAAAGGUACUCCGGGGAUAACAGGCUGAUACCGCCCAAGAGUUCAUAUCGACGGCGGUGUUUGGCACCUCGAUGUCGGCUCAUCACAUCCUGGGGCUGAAGUAGGUCCCAAGGGUAUGGCUGUUCGCCAUUUAAAGUGGUACGCGAGCUGGGUUUAGAACGUCGUGAGACAGUUCGGUCCCUAUCUGCCGUGGGCGCUGGAGAACUGAGGGGGGCUGCUCCUAGUACGAGAGGACCGGAGUGGACGCAUCACUGGUGUUCGGGUUGUCAUGCCAAUGGCACUGCCCGGUAGCUAAAUGCGGAAGAGAUAAGUGCUGAAAGCAUCUAAGCACGAAACUUGCCCCGAGAUGAGUUCUCCCUGACUCCUUGA